GUUGUCUAAGACUAGCCAUGCACGUCUAGUACAAACUAAAUGAUGGUGAAACUGCAAAUGGCUCAUUACAACGGUUAUGAUGUACCCGGGAGUUCCGAUGGAUAUUUCCAGUAACACUAGAACUAAUACAUGUCCCUGCGUUUAUUAGUUUCGCACAGUCCGUCGCUGAGUCAUGGUAAACAGUUGAUCGACUCGACGUCCCGGAACAGUUUCCGCCCCAUCAGCUUCGAUGGUUGGGUAUUGGCCUACCAUUGCAACAACGGGUAACGAGGAAUUAGGGUUUGAUUUCGGAGAGGGAGCCUGAGAAACGGCUACCACAUCUACGGAUGGCAGCAGGCGCGCAAAUUACCCAAUGCAGACACUGUGAGGUAGUGACGAGAAAUAAUAAAGCGGGACUUCUGUUUCGCUAUUAUAAUGAGGAAUAACCAAAGGUCAUUCCGAUUAGCAACUGAUGGGAAAGUCUGGUGCCAGCAGCCGCGGUAAUACCAGCGUCAGUAGCA
rnacentral:rRNA from 1 species